CAUCGACACCCAUGUCAAAUUUGGUUGUCGUAGUGAAAGGGGUCCUACAUGUAGAACUGCGCACACGUAUUAAAUUAAUGUAAUUCUAAAUCUUGAUUAUGAAGCUGACUGAAUUAAGUGAUUUUCACCUCGAGUUUUAAAUAAUGAUAAAUAUCACCAAAAAUAAAGGAAAAUGACUCAUUCUUUCUGGCAAACAAAUGGCAAUCUGGUUGCUAUUCACAGCAGAAAUUUUGCCCUCUGAAUUCUUCGUAUUGUGCAUAUUUUUGCAAGGUGCAAGGACCUGCACAGCUUUACUUUAGUUUAGGACCCCUAAUAUAUGCAAAGUGAAUGGGGGAUCCUGGGGCUAUGUAAUGGGAAAUAUCCUUAAUCUAUGUUUAUUUAUUACUUAUUGGUUUUAUGCCAAUUCGUCCAAUUACCAACUCGUCUACUAUCAUUUGGUCUAGUGUCAGUUCGUCCACUAUAUCCACACGGUCUAAUUGCCAUUCGACAACUUACCAUUUCAUCUGGGCUAAUUGGUCCAUUAUACCAGUUGGUCUAACUCUAAUUGGACUCUUGUUAAUCAGACAAAAUGAAUGAAAGGAAAAUGGGUACCAACUGGUCAUAGACAACCUGGUGAUUAAACAAAGUGAUUAUUAGACCAAAUGGAUGUUAGACGAAAUGUUGAACGAAAUGGCAUUAGACUAAAUGAAGGUACUAGAUCAUGCGAUGGGUGGACGAUUUGGCAGUAGAUGAAUUGGUAAUUUAACGAAAAAUAUGCAUAAAAAGGCUUGCAACAGCAUGAAAAUUGAUUUAUCUAGAUCUAGGUGAUAAAGGUGCUUUUAAAGGAACUGGUAUGAUAUCAAAUGAGAUAUUGUAUAAUCCCAAAAUGAAGAAGUUACACAGAAUUCUCUCAUUCAUUUAGAUCAUUAAUUAUAUAAAUUUAUGCAAAAUUCUUCAUAAAUACUGUAAAUGCUACUUCUCUAUUUUGCAGCUGAUUUUGAUCUUGUAUGUUUUAUUUGAAAUGGCUUGUUUGGGCCUACCAAACUUCUAGUUCUACACAGAAUUCUCAAAUUCAUUAGAUAUGCAAAUUUCUUGAAAUUUAUUAAAGAUUGACAAAGAUGCUAAUUCAGAUUUUUAUCCUGUUCUAUCUAAAUUCUAAUAGGGCUUGGUGGGGGGGGGGGGCAUCCAAACUUCUACACAGAUUCAAACACAUAUGCAAAUUUAUGAAAAAUUAUUCAAAGUUCAUAAACAAUGCUGCUUCUACAUUGAUUGGAUAUGCAAAUUUAAUCAAAUUUAUUGAAUAUUCACAAAAAAUCUACUUCUACGUUAUGCUGUUUUAUCUAAAUUCUAAUAGAGCUUAUUUUAAUGGGGGCAUCCAAACAGAUUUCUCAAAUUCAGUACAAGUAGAUGUACAAAUCUACGACACAUUCAAAGUGCACGAAAAAUGCUACUUCUACAUUCCUUAGCAGAUUUUUAUUCUGUUUUAUCGAAUAGGGCUGGGGGGGGGAGCUUCCAAACUUCUACACAGAAUUAUCAAAUUCACUAGAUAUGCAAAUUUAUUUAAGAUUCACAAAAAUGCUACUUCUACAUUUCUUUUUUUUUAUUCUGUUUGUUUUAUCUAAAUUCUAAUACAUGUACUAGGGCUUGGUGUGGCCAUCCAAAUGCUGAAGUACCAGCUUAACAAGGUGAGCCUUUGAUCAUGUUCUUGCAUAGGGAGCUACAUAUGAGACAUGAAUUUGAAAUGUUUUUGUGUCAUAUGAUAUUUUAUGGUGUUUGUAAACUCUUUUCUCGCUUACAUGUACAUCAUGCCAUGCUUUGUUUGAUGGCCCUGGACUGAUUUUGUCUUGUAAACAAGGAGGAUGCCCAACGAGGGAACGUCAGUGGUGGGUAAGAAGUGGCUUCCACUAGCAGCUCCCAUGAGAUCAAUUCUGACAGCAUAACUAAAUGGAUCUUCAAAGUGCUUCAAUGUGAAGGAUAUUAUCCAAAGGCAUCCCCGUGGGAAAGAAAUAGUAUAACACAAACUCGACGAUAACGACAGAAACCAGAUGCCUUCUGACAACUAUUGUGUUUGCGGAAAUGGUCAAGAUUUUCACCUAGCGAGAUAGCACUGUUCUCAUUCAUCAUGGCAAUAUACAUGGUUCCAGCUCAAACAGCAAGAAGGAAGAGUUCACUGGCAGACUCCAUGGGAUACUUUUUGGUGACUAGACCAAUCAGUACAAUUGUGGAAUCCCACCUGGCUGAAGAGAUGAAUGACAAGAAGCGGAGACAACCAUACCUUUUGGGCAUAGGAGAUCACAACAACUCAUCUCAGUUUUUCAUUGUUGUGGAUGAUCUAGCUAUCCCCUGCGAAGGUGACAUCACAGAGGCUGUUGACAAACUGUUUAAGGUCCAAUUCUUGUUCAACAUCCACUAUGCAGAUGAAGUCUAUGGAUUUUUUCUGGGGAUUUUUUGCAUUCAUACAGAACUUUGUUUACGGCAUAAGUGGACAAGAAGCAGUUCCAGCCCAUGCCAGAGAAAUGAUGGCAAGCAUCACUGCCUUGGAAGUGACUGCAAACAAAUGACUGACUUCAGUAUUGCCUGUCCUCAAACGAGCAUAAUUAACUCAAAAGGGUGUGGAGGUCACAUGGUAGGAUCAAAGAUCAUUUGUAUUCAUGAAGUGCUGGCUGAUAUUUUUUUUUCUGUUCCCACUUGGAACAUUCUUCCCUGCUUAAGUUGAUAGAGGAUGUUCACUUUUUAAAUGUACACAAUUCCAUAAUCAAUGGAAGAUCACUGUUGAAUAAAUUUGGGUUUAUUCAUCCUCAAAUAUUCCAGGAUAUUCUCAUAUUUUUUAAAAGAAAAAAAUCUUGGUCAGUAAUGUAUAUGUUAAAUAAAUUUACCUUGAACACAUCUCUUACAGUGCAUAUAUAUAAAAAAAUUAACCCUUUUGAAAAUAAUUUUCACAAUCACAUUUCAAAAUAUGGAGAUGAUUUUUUUUAAUGGCUUUUGGUACUCUAUAGUCUCUUCUAUCAAAUGCUGCUUGAGCGAGCGGUGACCAUUUUUGUCCAGAGUGUCAAAAAGUGCUUUGUGCCAAAAUUGAAAGAAAAGGAAAAAUUAAUUCAGCAGUCUGAUUAGGAUUCAUACUCAAAUCACUUGCUCUUUUGCAUACAUUUAUGAUCAUUUCAGAAAUGGAUAACUUUCCUAACCUUGGAAGAAUGGGGGGGGGGGGUGUUUAAUUGAAAUGAUAACUUCAUUUUAGGGGGAGGGUGUCCCACUUCUGACAAAGCCCGAUCCGGGAAUAGGUGUUCACGACUGCAUUGUGCAAUUAUCCUGGUGUUUCGGUAUUCAGAAGGGUGGUGAAGUUUGAUUUCUAAUAGGUAUCUUAGAUUUGGAGGUAAUCUGUGAUAGCAGUGAUAAAUGUUCUUGCUAUCGUUGGGGGGGGGGUCCCACUUCAAUUUUCCAUAUUUCUGAUCCCACAGUUCAUAGCCAGGGAAUAGAUCACAACUGCAUUGUGCGACCCUAGGUCUCUCUUGAAGUAUGAUUUCAUUCAUGAUAGUACCCACCAAUAAAUAGACAAUGUCAAGCUGAUAAUAUAAAUCAAAUUAAUUGAACUUACUACUUUUUUUUUCUUGGUAUGUACAUACCUUCUUUAACAACCAAGCAGUAAUCAGGGAUAUUUCAUAAACAUGAAGAUGUUAUAGUGUUUUAGCAAACAGUGUCCUAGACACCAUGGAGUAAGGAUCUUUAUUUCACUCAUAUUUUCAUUACAAAAUAUUCACUAUUGCAGUAAUCAAGGGCAGGUAAUGAUAGAUUAGAUGAUGUACAUGCCCAAGUAAUUGUGUCUUCAUCUUUUAGUGUACAUAUUUGAAUAAAGAUAUAGCAAAAAGCAGUCAUCAUACAUUCUUCCGUCUAUUCACUAAAAUGGGUGGAAAGGCUAAAGCUGUAACAACAAGUUGUGAAAUACUUUGGGUUUUUUUGGGUUGUUAAAUACUUUCUUUUUUAGCUUAUUGACCCUAUACAUGUAUAGCAUGGCUAUUUUUGAAUUGUUUAGGCAGGGAUUGGCUGCUAAUGGUCUCAAAAGAUGCAUAGACUUAAAAGCCAUGAAACAUAGCGAGAGCUUGUUGAGGUUAAGGGCUACAGCCCCCCUCCCGGCCGGAGAGGGUUGAGUGGCAAAAUGACAUACCAGACGGGAGAUAAAUACACUCAAUCGGUAGCAUGGG